UAAACUUUGUCAAAAUCCGUUAACUUUGGCAAACAUGACACUCCAGCUGAUUCAAGAAUGGUUGACAUGAAAUUGUUUGAUUAAUAUUUUACUAUUUAUAAUUUAUUAAACAUUAUUUUAUCUACCACAUAAACUUAUCUUUCUCUCUCCUCCUCUCUUUCCAAAAAUCCUAGUAGUCACCUAUCUUACUCUCUUCUUUCUCUCUCUUUCUUCUCCUUCUUCGACCACCACAUCAACUUCUCUUUUUUCCUCAAAUAUUAAAAAUCUUAAGUUUUCUUUCUAAUCUCCUUCUUUGUAUGUGUUUAUAAGAUCAUUACAAAACAUCGUAUUUGUUUAUGAUGCUUUAUGAUUUGAUUAAGUUAUAAUUGCUUUCCAAGAGUGUUUUUUCUUUUAUAGAAGAAUAGUUGUUAAAUUUGUUUGUGGUUUGUAUAUAUUCUUCAAAAUGAUGUUGAUUUGUUAAAACCUUCUCCUGAAUUUAAGAAGAGAAAGCACAAACUCAAGCAACUUGUUUAGUCACCAAACAUUUUCUUCAUGAAAGUACAAAAAUUGACAAGGGUGGAAUUGGAUCUGUUUGAUCUAUAGAAAAAAAGAAGCAAAAUGUUUCAGAAAUACAUGCUGGAAUUUACGAAGCAGAAGCUUUAAUAUUUUUUUCUUCUUUUUGAAAGCUGGAUUUUUUUCUUUCUUUCUUGUAGAUUGGGAUUUCAAUAUAGUUGCUUUAAUCUUUGAUUUUCAUUUAUUUUCACUUUUAUUGAGAUCUUAUAAUCUUCCAUUGAUUUCAUGUUAUAUUAAUUCGUUGUAAUCAGAUUUAUUGGAUUUGAGAUUUUAA